rnacentral:rRNA from 1 species
UAAAGAACCUACCUUAUAGACAGGGACAACUAUUGGAAACGAUAGCUAAUACCUGAUAAGAAAGAAACUCGCAUGAGAGAAGUUCGAAAGUCGGAGCAAUCUGACACUAUAAGAUGGCUUUGCGGUGCAUUAGCUAGUUGGUAGGGUAAAAGCCUACCAAGGCGACGAUGCAUAGCCGACCCUGAGAGGGGUGGAUCGGCCACAUUGGGACGUGAGACACGGCCCAGACUCCUACGGGAGGGCAGCAGCG